AGUAGUGGGCCUGCUGGGUGCCUGGGUGCAUUGGUUUGGGCUAUUAAACCUAUGGCUCCUAUGGGGGCCGAAUCGACUCGUUUCGGUCUGAGUUGAGUUCUUUCAAAAAUUGAAAACAAUCCAAAUUAGGCCGGAUCGGUCGAAUCAACUCCUCUACUCCCGAGUUCGAUCAUGAGUUAAAUUCAUUGGGUGGAAAUUGGGUGGAGGAAUCGACCGAUUAGAAUUGGAUCGAAAUUGCCUGGCCCCGAUCCCGAUCCCGAUCCCGAUACACUUUCCACUUUCCCCUGUGUUUUGAAAUCUUCCUCCAAAUUCAAGGCAUCGAGAGAAGGGAGAAGGCCUAGUUGCUUGUCAGAUGUUCGAAGUAAUGUCUGACAGAGGAGUCAUUACUUGGAAUGCUAUGUUUGCGGGUUACUCUUGAGAGUGGGUGCUGGAAGAAGUUGUGAAAUUGUUUCAUGGAAUGUUAAGUCUGAUAUUGGGUUUGAUGAUGCUACUAUCAUUCGCAGCCUGACGGAUUGCAGGAGGUUGGGGAACUUGGAAUUGAGGGAAUGGAUAAAUUAGUCUCUAGAGCCAAAGGGUUUAAAGGAAAAUCUUAUUUUGAUCACUUCUCUUGUUGAUAUGCACUAAAAAUGUGGAACCCAAUGAGAUUACUUUGGCCGGUAUUAUUUCUUCUUGUGCCGUCCUGGGAGCUCUUGAAACGGGAAAAUGGGUCCAUUCCUUCACAAAGAGGAAGAGAUUGGAGCUCCAAGUUAUGCCUGAGACCGCACUAGUGGACUUCAAUGAUAAUGCGGAUCUAUGGAGCAUUCACUUGAAGUGUUUGAAGAGAUGCCUUCUUGGAAUGUCUUGUCCUGGACACUACUAAUCCAAGGUAAUGCUAGCAAUGGACAGGGAGGAAAGGCCCUUGAUUUAUUCUCUUUGAUGCAGAAGCAUAGUAUUGAACCAAAUGCCGUGAUCACUUUGUCUAUAGGUGUCCUCUCUGUUUGUAGUCUUGCUGGUCUUAUUGAUGUGGGUCGGGGUCAUCUGUUAUUAUGAGCAGAGACUAGAGCAUUGAGCCAAGGAUUGACCACAAUGGCUGCACGUACGGUUGUUUUUCUUGGCCGAUGGUUUGAUGGAAGAGGCUGGCGUCUCACGUUAUUAAGAACAUCACAAUUGGACGUUACACCAUCAUCUAGAGAGCACUCUUGGCUCAUGUAUGGUUCAUAAAAACCUUCAAAUUGAGGAAGAAUCUGUGAAACAAUUGGUAGACUGGACCCUGCACAUAGUGGGUAUUGCAUUCUCUUAUCAAAUAUUUAUGCAUCAGUAGGCUGGUGGGACUCCGAGGAUGCAUGAAGAGUAAGGAGUCAGAUGAAAGAAAAGGGAAUCAAGAAGACACCAGGGUGUAGCUCAAUUGAGUUGGAUGGAGUGAUCCAUGAAUCUACAAUCAAAGAAGGUUUAUGGUGCAGUUGAGGACCUGAUUAGGCAAAUCUGCAAGUUAUGUGCUCAAAUACAGUGAUGGGGAAGAAGCAUUAAUUGGCAUCUCACCAUAGUAUGUAAUAGAGAAAUUCUUGUCAGAGAUUGCCAUAGUUUUCAUCAUUUCAAAUAAGGCUUAUGUUCUUGCUACAACUACAACUACUGGUAGGCUGUUUCUAUGGUUUCGUCUGAUAAGAUGUUCUUGUAGAAUCAAAGAGGCUUGAUGGCAUUGGAAAAGUUCAAUCCUGUUUCAAGCAUUACAUUUCAUAAGCGCAUAGGAUGAUCUACCAUUUGAUGUCUCACAUCAAGGAAAGUUACUAUGUUGGUCUAAUGUGUUGUCCUGCAUAUUCUACUUCAUGUUCUACCAGAAAAAAAAAUUCUUAGGAUUCAAUGUCUUGUAACUCUUGUUGGUUCA